rnacentral:rRNA from 1 species
UACGUAGGGUGCAAGCGUUGUCCGGAAUUAUUGGGCAUAAAGAGCUCGUAGGCGGUUUGUCGCGUCUGCUGUGAAAACGCGAGGCUCAACCUCGCGCCUGCAGUGGGUACGGGCAGACUAGAGUGCGGUAGGGGAGAUUGGAAUUCCUGGUGUAGCGGUGGAAUGCGCAGAUAUCAGGAGGAACACCGGUGGCGAAGGCGGGUCUCUGGGCCGAUAUUGACGCUGAGGAGCGAAAGCGUGGGGAGCGAACAGG